rnacentral:rRNA from 1 species
UGGGGAAUUGUUCGCAAUGGGCGCAAGCCUGACGACGCAACGCCGCGUGGAGGACGAAGAUCUUCGGGUCGUAAACUCCUGUCGAGCGGGAAGAACGCUUCGCGGAUGAAUAAGCCGCGGAAAUGACGGUACCGCUAAAGGAAGCCCCGGCUAACUCCGUGCCAGCAGCCGCGGUAAUACGGGGGGGGCAAGCGUUGUUCGGAAUUACUGGGCGUAAAGGGCUCGUAGGCGGCCAACUAAGUCGGAUGUGAAAUCCCCAGGCUUAACCUGGGAACUGCAUCCGAUACUGGAUGGCUUGAAUCCGGGAGAGGGAUGCAGAAUUCCAGGUGUAGCGGUGAAAUGCGUAGAUAUCUGGAGGAAUACCGGUGGCGAAGGCGGCAUCCUGGACCGGCAUUGACGCUGAUGAGCGAAAGCUAGGGGAGCAAACG